ACUGCUCCACACACUUUAAGACCCCCAGUACUGAUCAGUGACUGUCCAGUCCUUUCACAGACACUGACACAGGCAGCAGUAUGAUGAUGUUAAACUGUUUUCUGCUGGUGAUGCUGGGAGUCCUUGUACAAGGAUCAAUGGCAGAUAUAGUUCUGACUCAGGAUCCAGCAGCUCAGUCUGUUCAGCUGGGAGAGACUGUCUCUAUCAGCUGUACAGCCAGUCAGAGUGUUUACAGUGGCAACCACCUCCACUGGUACCAGCAGAAACCUGGUCAGGCUACUAAACUUCUGAUCUAUAGUGCCACUACUCGCCAGUCUGGGAUUCCUGAUCGUUUCAGUGGGAGUGGAUCUGGGACUCAGUUCACACUGAAAAUCACUGGAGUCCAGGCUGAAGACGCAGGAGAUUAUUACUGUCAGCAGAGUUAUAGCUCGCCGACACAGUGAUACAGAGCCGUACAAAAACCUCCCUCAGUCGGACUGCACAGAGACUGCACUGCUGCAGCUGGGACCUACUGCAGGUGCUGAGGGGGGAGGCACUGGUCUGGGACAGCAGUACUGCCAACUGGGCUGUAGGGGGCAACAACGAGCCACAGCCCUGAA